GAUGAACGCUGGCGGUAUGCUUAACACAUGCAAGUCGAACGGUCACUUCGGUGAUAGUGGCGGACGGGUGAGUAACGCGUGAGAAUCUGUCUUCAGGUCGGGGACAACAGUUAGAAAUGACUGCUAAUACCGGAUGUGCCUUUGGGUGAAAGAUUUAUUGCCUGAAAAAGAGCUCGCGUCAGAUUAGCUAGUAGGUGGUGUAAGAGACUACCUAGGCUCCGAUCUGUAGCUGGUCUGAGAGGACGAUCAGCCACACUGGAACUGAGACACGGUCCAGACGCCUAGGGGAUGCAGCAGUAGGGAAUCUUCCGCAAGGGGCGAAAGCCUGACGGAGCAACGCGGCGUGAGGGAUGAAGGUCUUCGGAGCGUAAAACUCUGAUAUUAGUGAAGAACAAAUGUGUAAGUAACAAUGCACGGCUUGACGGUACCUAAUCAGAAAGCCACGGCUAACUACGUG
rnacentral:rRNA from 1 species